rnacentral:rRNA from 1 species
GAUGAACGCUGACAGAAUGCUUAACACAUGCAAGUCUACUUGAACUUCGGUUUGGGUGGCGGACGGGUGAGUAACGCGUAAAGAACUUGCCUCACAGUUAGGGACAACAUUUGGGAACGAAUGCUAAUACCUGAUAUUAUGAUUUUAGGGCAUCCUAAGAUUAUGAAAGCUAUAUGCGCUGUGAGAGAGCUUUGCGUCCCAUUAGCUAGUUGGAGAGGUAACGGCUCACCAAGGCGAUGAUGGGUAGCCGGCCUGAGAGGGUGAACGGCCACAAGGGGACUGAGACACGGCCCUUACUCCUACGGGAGGCAGCAGUGGGGAAUAUUGGACAAUGGACAAAAAGUCUGAUCCAGCAAUUCUGUGUGCACGAUGACGUUUUUCGGAAUGUAAAGUGCUUUCAGUUGGGAAGAAAAAAAUGACGGUACCAACAGAAGAGGU